rnacentral:rRNA from 1 species
UUGACCUCAAAUCGAGUAGGACUACCCGCUGAACUUAAGCAUAUCAAUAAGCGGAGGAAAAGAAACUAACAAGGAUUCCCCUAGUAACGGCGAGUGAAGAGGGAAGAGCUCAAAUUUUGAAUCUGGCGUCUUUGGCGUCCGAAUUGUAAUCUAGAGAAGUGUUUUCCGUGACGGACCGUGCACAAGUCUCCUGGAAUGGAGCGUCAUAGAGGGUGAGAAUCCCGUAUAUGGCAUGGACUACCGUUGCUCUGUGAUACACUCUCGACGAGUCGAGUUGUUUGGGAAUGCAGCUCUAAAUGGGUGGUAAAUGCCAUCUAAAGCUAAAUAUUGGCGAGAGACCGAUAGCGAACAAGUACCGUGAGGGAAAGAUGAAAAGCACUUUGGAAAGAGAGUGAAACAGUACGUGAAAUUGUUGAAAGGGAAACGCUUGAAGUCAGUCGUGCCGUUCGGGAUUCAGCCUUGCUUCUGCUCGGUUUACUUCCUGUUGGGUGGGUCAACAUCAGUUUUGGUCGGAGGAGAAAGGCUUGGGGAAUGUGGCAGCAUUCGUGCUGUGUUAUAGCCCCUUGUUGUAUACUUCGGCUGGGACUGAGGACCGCAGCACGCCUUUGGCCGGGGUUCGCCCACGUACGUGCUUAGGAUGUUGGCAUAAUGGCUUUAAGCGACCCGUCUUGAAACACGGACC